GGGUUGUGAGGUUAAGCGACUAAGCGUACACGGUGGAUGCCCUGGCAGUCAGAGGCGAUGAAGGACGUGCUAAUCUGCGAAAAGCGUCGGUAAGGUGAUAUGAACCGUUAUAACCGGCGAUGUCCGAAUGGGGAAACCCAGUGCAAUUCGUUGCACUAUCGUUAACUGAAUACAUAGGUUAACGAGGCGAACCGGGGGAACUGAAACAUCUAAGUACCCCGAGGAAAAGAAAUCAACCGAGAUUCCCCCAGUAGCGGCGAGCGAACGGGGAGCAGCCCAGAGUCUGAAUCAGCUUGUGUGUUAGUGGAACGGUCUGGAAAGUCCGACGGUACAGGGUGAUAGUCCCGUACACCAAAAUGCACAGGCUGUGAACUCGAAGAGUAGGGCGGGACACGUGGUAUCCUGUCUGAAUAUGGGGGGACCAUCCUCCAAGGCUAAAUACUCCUGACUGACCGAUAGUGAACCAGUACCGUGAGGGAAAGGCGAAAAGAACCCCGGCGAGGGGAGUGAAAAAGAACCUGAAACCGUGUACGUACAAGCAGUGGGAGCACCUUCGGGUGUGACUGCGUACCUUUUGUAUAAUGGGUCAGCGACUUAUAUUCUGUAGCAAGGUUAACCGUAUAGGGGAGCCGCAGGGAAACCGAGUCUUAACUGGGCGUUAAGUUGCAGGGUAUAGACCCGAAACCCGGUGAUCUAGCCAUGGGCAGGUUGAAGGUUGGGUAACACUAACUGGAGGACCGAACCGACUAAUGUUGAAAAAUUAGCGGAUGACUUGUGGCUGGGGGUGAAAGGCCAAUCAAACCGGGAGAUAGCUGGUUCUCCCCGAAAGCUAUUUAGGUAGCGCCUCGUGAACUCAUCUUCGGGGGUAGAGCACUGUUUCGGCUAGGGGGUCAUCCCGACUUACCAACCCGAUGCAAACUACGAAUACCGAAGAAUGUUAUCACGGGAGACACACGGCGGGUGCUAACGUCCGUCGUGAAGAGGGAAACAACCCAGACCGCCAGCUAAGGUCCCAAAGUCAUGGUUAAGUGGGAAACGAUGUGGGAAGGCACAGACAGCCAGGAUGUUGGCUUAGAAGCAGCCAUCAUUUAAAGAAAGCGUAAUAGCUCACUGGUCGAGUCGGCCUGCGCGGAAGAUGUAACGGGGCUAAACCAUGCACCGAAGCUGCGGCAGCGACACUAUGUGUUGUUGGGUAGGGGAGCGUUCUGUAAGCCUGCGAAGGUGACCUGUGAGGGUUGCUGGAGGUAUCAGAAGUGCGAAUGCUGACAUAAGUAACGAUAAAGCGGGUGAAAAGCCCGCUCGCCGGAAGACCAAGGGUUCCUGUCCAACGUUAAUCGGGGCAGGGUGAGUCGACCCCUAAGGCGAGGCCGAAAGGCGUAGUCGAUGGGAAACAGGUUAAUAUUCCUGUACUUGGUGUUACUGCGAAGGGGGGACGGAGAAGGCUAUGUUAGCCGGGCGACGGUUGUCCCGGUUUAAGCAUGUAGGCUGGUUGUCCAGGCAAAUCCGGAUAAUCAAGGCUGAGGUGUGAUGACGAGGCACUACGGUGCUGAAGUAACAAAUGCCCUGCUUCCAGGAAAAGCCUCUAAGCAUCAGGUAACAUCAAAUCGUACCCCAAACCGACACAGGUGGUCAGGUAGAGAAUACCAAGGCGCUUGAGAGAACUCGGGUGAAGGAACUAGGCAAAAUGGUGCCGUAACUUCGGGAGAAGGCACGCUGGUGUGUAGGUGAAGUCCCUGCGGAUGGAGCUGAGACCAGUCGAAGAUACCAGCUGGCUGCAACUGUUUAUUAAAAACACAGCACUGUGCAAACACGAAAGUGGACGUAUACGGUGUGACGCCUGCCCGGUGCCGGAAGGUUAAUUGAUGGGGUUAUCCGUAAGGAGAAGCUCUUGAUCGAAGCCCCGGUAAACGGCGGCCGUAACUAUAACGGUCCUAAGGUAGCGAAAUUCCUUGUCGGGUAAGUUCCGACCUGCACGAAUGGCGUAAUGAUGGCCAGGCUGUCUCCACCCGAGACUCAGUGAAAUUGAACUCGCUGUGAAGAUGCAGUGUACCCGCGGCAAGACGGAAAGACCCCGUGAACCUUUACUAUAGCUUGACACUGAACAUUGAGCCUUGAUGUGUAGGAUAGGUGGGAGGCUUUGAAGCGUGGACGCCAGUCUGCGUGGAGCCAACCUUGAAAUACCACCCUUUAAUGUUUGAUGUUCUAACGUUGGCCCCUGACCGGGGUUGCGGACAGUGUCUGGUGGGUAGUUUGACUGGGGCGGUCUCCUCCCAAAGCGUAACGGAGGAGCACGAAGGUUAGCUAAUCCUGGUCGGACAUCAGGAGGUUAGUGCAAUGGCAUAAGCUAGCUUGACUGCGAGCGUGACGGCGCGAGCAGGUGCGAAAGCAGGUCAUAGUGAUCCGGUGGUUCUGAAUGGAAGGGCCAUCGCUCAACGGAUAAAAGGUACUCCGGGGAUAACAGGCUGAUACCGCCCAAGAGUUCAUAUCGACGGCGGUGUUUGGCACCUCGAUGUCGGCUCAUCACAUCCUGGGGCUGAAGUAGGUCCCAAGGGUAUGGCUGUUCGCCAUUUAAAGUGGUACGCGAGCUGGGUUUAGAACGUCGUGAGACAGUUCGGUCCCUAUCUGCCGUGGGCGCUGGAGAAUUGAGGGGGGCUGCUCCUAGUACGAGAGGACCGGAGUGGACGCAUCACUGGUGUUCGGGUUGUCAUGCCAAUGGCACUGCCCGGUAGCUAAAUGCGGAAGAGAUAAGUGCUGAAAGCAUCUAAGCACGAAACUUGCCCCGAGAUGAGUUCUCCCUGAGACUUUAAGUCUCCUGAAGGAACGUU
rnacentral:rRNA from 2 species